rnacentral:rRNA from 1 species
AUGAACGCUAGCUACAGGCUUAACACAUGCAAGUCGAGGGGCAGCAUGGUCUUAGCUUGCUAAGGCCGAUGGCGACCGGCGCACGGGUGAGUAACACGUAUCCAACCUGCCGUCUACUCUUGGACAGCCUUCUGAAAGGAAGAUUAAUACAAGAUGGCAUCAUGAGUCCACAUGUUCACAUGAUUAAAGGUAUUCCGGUAGACGAUGGGGAUGCGUUCCAUUAGAUAGUAGGCGGGGUAACGGCCCACCUAGUCUUCGAUGGAUAGGGGUUCUGAGAGGAAGGUCCCCCACAUUGGAACUGAGACACGGUCCAAACUCCUACGGGAGGCAGCAGUGAGGAAUAUUGGUCAAUGGGCGAGAGCCUGAACCAGCCAAGUAGCGUGAAGGAUGACUGCCCUAUGGGUUGUAAACUUCUUUUAUAAAGGAAUAAAGUCGGGUAUGCAUACCCGUUUGCAUGUACUUUAUGAAUAAGGAUCGGCUAACUCCGUGCCAGCAGCCGCGGUAAUACGGAGGAUCCGAGCGUUAUCCGGAUUUAUUGGGUUUAAAGGGAGCGUAGAUGGAUGUUUAAGUCAGUUGUGAAAGUUUGCGGCUCAACCGUAAAAUUGCAGUUGAUACUGGAUAUCUUGAGUGCAGUUGAGGCAGGCGGAAUUCGUGGUGUAGCGGUGAAAUGCUUAGAUAUCACGAAGAACUCCGAUUGCGAAGGCAGCCUGCUAAGCUGCAACUGACAUUGAGGCUCGAAAGUGUGGGUAUCAAACAGGAUUAGAUACCCUGGUAGUCCACACGGUAAACGAUGAAUACUCGCUGUUUGCGAUAUACAGCAAGCGGCCAAGCGAAAGCGUUAAGUAUUCCACCUGGGGAGUACGCCGGCAACGGUGAAACUCAAAGGAAUUGACGGGGGCCCGCACAAGCGGAGGAACAUGUGGUUUAAUUCGAUAAUACGCGAGGAACCUUACCCGGGCUUAAAUUGCAGAUGAAUUACGGUGAAAGCCGUAAGCCGCAAGGCAUCUGUGAAGGUGCUGCAUGGUUGUCGUCAGCUCGUGCCGUGAGGUGUCGGCUUAAGUGCCAUAACGAGCGCAACCCUUGUUGUCAGUUACUAACAGGUUCUGCUGAGGACUCUGACAAGACUGCCAUCGUAAGAUGUGAGGAAGGUGGGGAUGACGUCAAAUCAGCACGGCCCUUACGUCCGGGGCUACACACGUGUUACAAUGGGGGGUACAGAGGGCCGCUACCACGCGAGUGGAUGCCAAUCCCCAAAACCUCUCUCAGUUCGGACUGGAGUCUGCAACCCGACUCCACGAAGCUGGAUUCGCUAGUAAUCGCGCAUCAGCCACGGCGCGGUGAAUACGUUCCCGGGCCUUGUACACACCGCCCGUCAAGCCAUGGGAGCCGGGGGUACCUGAAGUGCGUAACCGCGAGGAGCGCCCUAGGGUAAAACUGGUGACUGGGGCU